GCGGCAAGAUGGCGUCUCGAUUGACGCAUUCGUUCUAAUGAACAGCAGUCGUCAAGGCGACAUCUAGUCAGUAUAUAUAUCUAUGAUAUCUGGAAACACC